rnacentral:ncRNA from 1 species
UCGGCGGGAACCCGUUCACUCCACUUUCUUGAGCGGGGAAACGCUGCAAAUAAAGGAGGAACUGUCCCCGCGGCUCGGGGUACGGCAGUGUGGAGACCUGUCGUAAAGCGCGGCCGAUGCAAACGCGGCGCGCGAGACGGUCCGUUGAAGAAGUUCGGGACCGUUAGGGCCAGGAAAACAUGGCA